rnacentral:lncRNA from 1 species
CCACCAUCAGCACCCUCCCACCUGCACCUCUGCCACUCCUCUCCUUCAGAGACAAGUAGGUCCAGUACUGGUGAGGUUCUUGUCCACAGCAUUCCUUGGUGGCCUUUACCCUGCACUCAGAUUGAAGUGGGGAAGCCUCGUGCCAAGCUUGCUGUGCUUUUUGCUAUGCACCGAACAGUUAUUGGCUGUUAUCUUGUAAACACUGCAAGACAAGCUCGUGGAGAAAAUGACUCCGUGCAGUCCGAAAUAAGAUACUGCUGGAGCAAGAAUGCUGAUGACAUGGAGUGGACACUUCUGUCCAUGUUUCCUGCAGCAGACCUUGCUCUCACCUGCACCUUCGUGCCACAGACAAAUCUUCCAGCUCACAGAACGGGAUAAUUAGAAAGGAAGAAAUUCUUAUGGUUUGACUUGGAGACUUUCAUUGCAGUUUAUUUGAUAGUUAGAAGCAUCAGCAUCUCAGAAGUUAAUGAUCUGCCUGAAAUAAU